rnacentral:rRNA from 1 species
AGAAUCAACGCUGGCGGCGUGCCUAACACAUGCAAGUCGAACGCGAAAGGGGCUUCGGCCCUGAGUAGAGUGGCGAACGGGUGAGUAACACGCGGGUGACCUGCCCUCGAGUGGGGGAUAACAUCCCGAAAGGGGUGCUAAUACCGCAUGACAUCCUGUCUUUGAACAGAUGGACAUUAAAGCCGGGGAUCGCAAGACCUGGCGCUCGAGGAGGGGCUCGCGUCCGAUUAGCUAGUUGGUGGGGUAAUGGCCUACCAAGGCGACGAUCGGUA